rnacentral:misc_RNA from 1 species
UCUCCGUAGGUGAACCUGCGGAGGGAUCAUUAAUGAAUGGCCGUCUAUGGCCUUCGACACUUCAAAACUGUGGAGGCAGAGUGUGCUUCGGCGCUUCGGCGCCGCCUUUUAUGCUUGUAGAGUCUGUGUCUGAGCCUAAAACAUAGUCUAAAACUUUCAACAAAGGAUCUCUUGGCUCUC